AUACCCGUAGUAAUUCUAGAGCUAAUACAUGCAUUAAAUACUCAUUCGAGUAGCAUUUAUUAGAUUGAAACCAAUGUAAAUGUUGAGUCAUAAUAACUGUGCGGAUCGUUCGUCAAGAGCGAUGAAUCGACUGGGUUUCUGCCCUAUCAGUUUUGGAUGGCUGUGUAUUGGACAGCCAUGACAUUGACGGGUAACGGAGGAUUAGGGUUCGACACCGGAGAGGGCGCCUGAGACACGGCGACCACAUCCAAGGAAGGCAGCAGGCGCGUAAAUUACCCAAUGCUAAUUCAGCGAGGUAGUGACAAGAAAUAACGAUUUUCGGUCUUCAAGAUCGGAAAAUUGGAAUGAGAACAAUUUAAAUCCCUUAUCGAGGAUCAAUUGGAGGGCAAGUCUGGUGCCAGCAGCCGCGGUAAUUCCAGCUCCAAUAGCGUAUAUUAAAGUUGUUGCAGUUAAAAAGCUCGUAGUUGGAUUUAAGUUUGUUUGUGCGUUGUGAUCGUGAGAUGACGAUGCAUUGAGCAGACAUUAUUUGGGAUUUGGGGUUUCUUGGCAUUCAGUUGUUGAGAUUCAACUGCCCAUCGUUUACUGUGAAAAAAUUAGAGUGUUUAAAGCAGGGGUUUUUCCUUUGGAUAUAUUAGCAUGGAAUAAUAAUAUAUGACUCGUAUGGUCUAUUUUGUUGGUUUGCACAUAUGAGUAAUGAUUAAUAGGGACAGUUGGGGGUAUUCAUAUUUGAGCGUCAGAGGUGAAAUUCUUGGAUCGCUGAAAGAUGAGCUAAGGCGAAAGCAUUUACCAAGGAUGUUUUCAUUAAUCAAGAACGAAAGUUAGGGGAUCGAAGAUGAUUAGAUACCAUCGUAGUCUUAACCGUAAACUAUGCCGACUCGGGAUGGUUAUGACGCUUUUUAGUCAUAGCUGCACCGUAUGAGAAAUCAAAGUCUUUGGGUUCCGGGGGAAGUAUGAUCGCAAGAUUGAAACUUAAAGGAAUUGACGGAAGGGCACUCCAAAUGUGGAACUUGCGGCUUAAUUUGACACAACACGGGGAAACUUACCAGGUCCAGACAUAAUAAGGAUUGACAGAUUGAGAGCUCUUUCUUGAUUUUAUGGGUGGUGGUGCAUGGCCGUUCUUAGUUGGUGGAGUGAUUUGUCUGGUUUAUUCCGUUAACGAACGAGACGUGUGUAUGUAGUUUAUUUGCUUGUCUUUUUGACGAGGCCAAGUACCUACAUAGACUAUUAGUGACUAACUAAUUGAAGUGACACGCAAUAACAGGUCUGUGAUGCCCUUAGAUGUUCUGGGCCGCACGCGCGUUACAAUGAAUCGUUCAACAGGUUUUUUUCCUGAGUCGAAAGGCUUUGGUAAUCCUUUAAAUACGGUUCGUGCUAGGGAUAGAUUUUUGCAAUUAUUAAUCUUGAACGAGGAAUAUUUAGUAAACGCAGGUCAUCAGCCUGCAUUGAUUACGUCCCUGCCCUUUGUACACACCGCCCGUCGCACCAACCGAUUGGAUGUUUUGUUGAAAUAUGUGGAUGUUUGUUGAGUGGAUUAAUUUUCGGUCGAUAGAUAGAAACGUAUUAAAACUGAAUAUCUAGAGGAUGGUGAAGUCGUAACAAGGUU
rnacentral:rRNA from 1 species